rnacentral:rRNA from 1 species
UACAUGGGGUGCAAACGUUGCUCGGAAUUAUUGGGCGUAAAGCGCACGUAGGCGGUUCGUUAAGUCGGAUGUGAAAGCCCUCGGCUCAACUGAGGAAGUGCACCCGAAACUGGCGAUCUUGAGUCCGGAAGAGGUGAGUGGAACUCCUAGUGUAGAGGUGGAAUUCGUAGAUAUUAGGAAGAACACCAGUGGCGAAGGCGGCUCACUGGUCCGGUACUGACGCUGAGGUGCGAAAGCGUGGGGAGCAAACAGG